rnacentral:rRNA from 1 species
GACGAACGCUGGCGGCGUGCCUAAUACAUGCAAGUCGAACGCACAGUUUAUACCGUAGCUUGCUCCACCAUAGACUGUGAGUUGCGAACGGGUGAGUAACGCGUAGGUAACCUGCCUGGUAGCGGGGGAUAACUCUUGGAAACGAUAGCUAAUACAGCAUAAUAUUCAUUAUUGCAUGAUAAUUAAUUGAAAGGUGCACUUGCACCAAUACAAGAUGGACCUGCGUUGUAUUAGCUAGUAGGUGAGGUUACGGCUCACCUAGGCGACGAUACAUAGCCGAACUUGGAGGGUGAACGGCCACACUGGGACUUAGACACGGCCCAGACUCCUACGGGAGGCAGCAGGAGGGAAUCUUUGGGAAUGGACGAAAGUCUGAACGAGCAACGCCGCGUUAGGGAAUAAGGUUUUCGGAUCGUAAAGAUCUGUUUUAAGAGAAGAACGGGUUUUAUAGUUGAAAGUUCACACUGUGACGGUAUCUUACCAGAAAGGGACGGCUAACUACGUG